CGUGAGCCAGCUCUGGCCACAGGGGACUCCCUCCUUCCCAGAUUCUUGCUGUCUGACCAGUAGUUUCCUGGCGGAGACUCUUUCCCACAUGAGGCACUCAGCUGAAGGACUCUCUCACAGGGGAUUCUCAGGGAAAAAGGAACACAGCUGCAGGAGGGACGGAGGUGCCCCCAAGGCAAGGCCUUCCUCCCACCCCAGAAACAAGUCUGUUCCCUGGCAUGAGCCUGGGGAAGUGAAGCCGGAGGGGACUGAGUCUGGGCGGGUGAAGCUAACCAGGACCACCACUGCCCUGAGGGAUUAUUCUAGGCACAUUUUCUGAGGCCCCAGGGGUAAGAGCAGGGGCCAGAAGCAAGGAACACAGGGCUAGCCGUAGGAUGAACUUUCUCACAGGGCUGGUGAGCAGGGCUCAGGGAGAUAGUGAGCACUCCACUGUGAAGGUGUGCAAACCGAGAUGCGAUGAGUCGGCCGGGACCUUGGAACAUGCUGUCCCCAUCUCGGAGACCUUGUCUCGUCCUGGGUGCUGGUGUCCGCAGGGACAUCUGCCUGUCUCCCGUCGUGCCUCCUGUUGCGUCCAUCCCAUGAGGCGAGCCAGACGCCGGUCGCAGGAAACGGCCUGUGCCAUCUUCCGUUUGAAAGGCAGGAGGCCACCCGUACUGGACUUGCUGCCUCGUAUCCUAUGGACCUACUUUUUCCAGCUCCUACAGGAAUAACCUGUUCCCUACCUCAGCUAUCAACACUUUCUGCCCAGAGUUCCUCGGAAGCCAUGGUGGGGACCCACCGGAGAACUCACGCUUGGAAGUAUCAGGGUGCUGACGUGGGCGGACCUUGAGCCCUUGACGGUGGGAGCCCGCAGUUUCGUGGAUGUGCAACUAGGAGGUUGGCAAUGAUUUCCUGCAAGGUGGCAGCUGGGGUGACGUGACCGACCACAGGGCAGAAGUGUGCCCUAACUUCCACUCCAACAAACCUUUCUACAUGUAAUUCCCUACAUUAAAUAUCUUUC